UGGACCUGAUAUCAGGCAAGAUUACCCGCUGAACUUAAGCA
rnacentral:rRNA from 1 species